UACGUAGGUGGCGAGCAUUAUCCGGAUUUACUGGGCGUAAAGGGUGCGUAGGCGGAUUUUUAAGUGGGAUGUGAAAUACCCGGGCUCAACUUGGGUGCUGCAUUCCAAACUGGAAGUCUAGAGUGUGGGAGAGGAAAGUGGAAUUCCUAGUGUAGCGGUGAAAUGCGUAGAGAUUAGGAAGAACACCAGUGGCGAAGGCGACUUUCUGGACCAUAACUGACGCUGAGGCACGAAAGCGUGGGGAGCAAAC
rnacentral:rRNA from 1 species